rnacentral:rRNA from 1 species
ACUAACGCUGGCGGCGUGCCUAACACAUGCAAGUCGAACGAUUGUACAUUCGUAGCAAUAUGGAUGUGCUUUAGUGGCAGACGGGUGAGUAACGCGUAGAUAACGUGCCCUUUAGUUGGGGAUAGCCGUUCGAAAGGACGGGUAAUACCAAAUGAGCUCGCGUGGGGACAUCCCCGGGCGAGGAAAGCAGCGAUGCGCUGGAGGAGCGGUCUGCGUCCUAUUAGCUUGUUGGUGGGGUAAUGGCCUACCAAGGCGACGAUGGGUAGCCGGUCUGAGAGGAUGAUCGGCCACACUGGCACUGAGACACGGGCCAGACUCCUACGGGAGGCAGCAGUGAGGGAUUUUGCGCAAUGGGCGAAAGCCUGACGCAGCGACGCCGCGUGAGGGAUGAAGGUCUUCGGAUUGUAAACCUCUGUCAGUGGGGAAGAGUAAGGACGGUACCCGCUGAGGAAGCUUCGGCUAACUACGU